rnacentral:rRNA from 1 species
GCCUAAAAAGUAACGGAGGCGCCCAAAGGUACCCUCAGGCUGGGUGGAAAUCAGCCGCAGAGUGCAAAGGCAUAAGGGUGCUUG